GAUGAACGCUGGCGGCGUGCCUAAUACAUGCAAGUCGAGCGAACAGAUAAGGAGCUUGCUCCUUUGACGUUAGCGGCGGACGGGUGAGUAACACGUGGGUAACCUACCUAUAAGACUGGAAUAACUCCGGGAAACCGGGGCUAAUGCCGGAUAACAUUUAGAACCGCAUGGUUCUAAAGUGAAAGAUGGUUUUGCUAUCACUUAUAGAUGGACCCGCGCCGUAUUAGCUAGUUGGUAAGGUAACGGCUUACCAAGGCAACGAUACGUAGCCGACCUGAGAGGGUAAUCGGCCACACUGGAACUGAGACACGGUCCAGACUCCUACGGGAGGCAGCAGUAGGGAAUCUUCCGCAAUGGGCGAAAGCCUGACGGAGCAACGCCGCGUGAGUGAUGAAGGUCUUCGGAUCGUAAAACUCUGUUAUUAGGGAAGAACAAAUGUGUAAGUAACUGUGCACGUCUUGACGGUACCUAAUCAGAAAGCCACGGCUAACUACGUG
rnacentral:rRNA from 1 species